ensembl:lncRNA
UCAACUAGAUCAACAGAUUGAAAGAUUUGGUUGCAAAGGUCAGACACGGAGCAGAAGAUGGAAAGUGAACAAAGAGAACACACCUUUGAACGGCAGUGCAGGAUCUUUGCUCUGUCACCCAGGCUGGAGUACAGUAGCUCACUAUAGCCUUGACCUCCUGGGCUGAAGUGAUACCCCCACCUCAGCCUCCUGAAUAGCUGGGACCACAACUGUAUACCACCAUGCCCUGAAAAUUUUAAAAACCUUUUUGUAGAGGUGGAAGUCUUACCAUGUUGCCCAGGCUGGUCUCAAAUUCAUAGGCUCAAGGGAUUCUCUCACCUAGUUUCCCAAAGUGCUGGAUUUACAGGAAUUCUCCUGGGACUUAUCAGAGUUGCUGGAAGAAAACAGCUGAGGAUUGAACACAGUGAACUAAUUUUCUCACAUCUUCCAAUAAGCAGAAGUUGGUGAAAAGGAAUGUAAACACUCUUGUGGUAAAAUGAGUUCAAAAAGAAACUCUAAAUCCUUAAAAUUAAUAAACCAAUAAACGAAAACAUAAAACUGCACAAUUAUUUGCAUGGCUGAUAAGAAGGAAAAGAGUUCCAGAUAUCUUUUUUGAAGAAAGAACAAUAAAAUAAGCAUAUUAAAAAUAAAACCACUAAAAACUAUUCAAUAGAAAAAAUAUAGAAGGCACCAAAUACAGGAAAGUAAACAUAAUCUUUUAUUGGCACAGAAUGCUUUUAAGAGUGAUGAUUUGAGGUGCUAACUUCCUUUACUUCCUGAUCUAUUGUACAGAACUUCUGAAGUUUGUCCUUUUUACAUUUUCUAACUUCUCGUGUACCUUUCACCUCCCCUGUUCAGCAGUGCUUGUGAGAAAACUUACUUUUUUUGUGGAGGAUGGGUCGGCGGGGAGUUGGAACAGGUUUUUUUUCUCUGUUGCCCAGGCUAGAGUGCAGUGGUGUGAUCACAGCUUGCUGCAGCCUUAAACUCCUGGGCUCAAUAGAUCCUCCCUCAACAGCCUCCUGAAUAGCUGGAAUUAUAGGUGUGAGCCCCUGUGCCAAGCUAGAAAGCUUCAUUUUCUGAGUUAUUUGUUAUAUUUUGCAGCUAUGAUUACAUAUUUUUCAGUUGUUAGGACUUGCACUGAACUUUCAGAACACUUUUUAAAAAUAAAGUUACCCUUCGUUUUACAAAGAUGUUAAUACUGGUUAGCUAUCAAUAUAAGUGCUUCAGGUUGUCUUGAAGUGAGGAUGGAUUGACUUUGCCUACUCACAUUUUCCAACAUGGUUCCCUGGCAACUGUGGUCAUUAAUUUAGGUGAGGGUUUUUCAGGACUGCAGAUGCAGAUUAGGGUCAUGGAAUAGAAUAAUGGGUCUUAAAUUUUGCUGCUGAUCAGAAUCAUCUAGGGAGUUCUUGAAAAAUCUUGAUAUCUAGGUCUUACCACUUACCAAUGAAGUCCAAAUUUCUGUAUAAGAGGUCCAGGCAUUAGAUUUAUUAUUGUUUUAAAAUCUAUAUUCAUGAUAUAUAUGGGUGUAUAGUUUUGACUUUUUGUAAUUUUUAAAAAUAGCUUUAUUGAGAUGUAAUUAACAUACAAUAAAUUUUGGCAUAUGUAUAUACUUAUGAAACCAUCACCACAAUCAAGAUAAUAAAUCUAUCUAUAUGUUUUUGGCAUGCUCCUUGGUAAUCUCUUCCUCCUGCCCCUCCUUGCCAUUUCCAGGCAACAACUCAUCUGCUUUCUGUCACUAUAGAUGCGCCUGCACUUUCUAGAAUUGUAUAUAAAUAGAAUCAUGUAGUAUAUAUCCUGCUUGCUCUGGCUUCUUUCAUCAGAAAGAAUUACCUGUACCAAAAGCUCAUUUAAAAAAAUAUUGCUGAGUAGUAUUCCAUUGUCUGGAAAAAACAUAAUUUGUUUAUCAGUUCACUUAUUGAUGGACAGUUGAAUUGUGACUAUUACAAAUAAAGCUGUUAUGAACAUUCAUGUGUAAUCUUUGUAUAGACAGACAAGCUUUUCUUAUGUUUUGCAUAAGAAUAGAACUAAGUAAGUGAAUGUUUAAGUUAUAAGAAUCUGACAAACAUUUUGUGAAAGUGACUAACCCUUUUAUAUUUUUAUCAGCAUUAAAUAGUGUUUCAGUUCCUCCAGAUCCUUGCCAACACUUGGUAUAGUUAAUCUUUUAAAUUUUAGCCAUUUCUAAUAGACACAUACUGGUGUCUCAUUAUAGUACUAAUUUGUAUUAGGUUAAUACAAAUGACGUUGAACGUAUUUUCAUGUGCUUCUUUGCUAAUUAUAUAUAUUCUUUGGUAAAGUAUCUGUUUAAUUUUUUAAAGAUUGGAUCAUUUGUCUUUUAUUUUUGAAUAGGAAGGAUUUUUCAGUAUAAUUCUAGAUAGAAGUUUAUUGUCAGCUGUAUGUCUUGAAAAUAGUUUCCCUGACUCUGUUAAAAGUUUUUAACUUUGUUAAAGUCCAGUUCAUUGAAUUUUUCUUUUAUGAUUUGUGCUUUUGCCAAACUCAAGGACACUAGGACUUUCUUGUACUUUUAAAAAAAAUACAAGAAGUUGAAUAAUUCUGCUCCUUUAUUUAGUUCUAUGAUCCAUUUGAAUUAAUUGUCAAGAAAGGGUCAAGGUAUGUUUAUUUUUUUCUGUAUUGAUAUCUAUUUUUUCCAGACUAUUUGUCAAAUAGAUUAUUAUUUCUUUUACUUAACUAUGUUGGUCACUUGGUUGAAUAUCUGUUGAUUAUAUACAUGUGGGUUAGUUUCUAAACUCUUUUCUGUUGCAUUGAUCUAUUGCCUAAUUUUAUACCAAUGCCACACCAUCUUGAUUGCCAUAGCUUUACAAUAAACCUUGAAAUCUGGUAGCAUAAGUCCUCCAUCUUUAUUUUUCUUAAAAAAAAAAUUUGGCCUUUCAGGGUUCUUUAAAUUUUCAUAUACAUUUUAGAGUCUGCUUGUCAAAUAAAAAGGCUUCUAGAAUUUUGAUUAACAUUGUGUUGAACAAAUUGAUCAAAUAUUAAUAAUAUUAAGUCUUUCAAUAUAUAAGUGUGGUAUGUGGUAUUUAGGAUUUCUUUAAUUUUUUUCAGCAAUGUUUUGUCAUUUUCAAUGUUCAAGUCUCACCUAUCUUUUUUUAUUCUGAAAUAUUUCAUAUUUGUGAUGUUAUUGUAAAUGCUGCUUUUCUGAAUUUCAAUUUCCGAUUAUUCAUUGUUAGUAUAUGCAAAUUAUAAUUUACUUUUGUAUUCUGAUCUUUUAGUCUGCACCUUGCUAAAAUAAUUUAUUAAUUCUACCAGUUUUUUGAUUGUUUUGUAAGAGUUUUCUACACAGAAAUUACUUUGUUUUCUAAUAAAGACAGCUUUAACUUCCUUCAUUUCACUAUUGAUGCCCAUUUGUCUUUUUCUUGCCUUAUUAUACUGGAAAGAACUUUAGUACAGUUUUGAAUAGAAAUAAUGACAGCUUUAUUCCUGAUCUUGGAGGGAAACCUUUUUUUUUUUUUAACCAUUUAAGUAUUGUCACCUUUUUUUCCCCUUCAAUGUCCCUUUUCAAUUAGGUUGAGAAAGUUCCCUUCUAGUCAUAGUUUUCUGAGGCUUUUUAUCAGAAAUAGCUGUUGAAUUUUGUCAAAUUCCUUC